rnacentral:rRNA from 1 species
UACAGAGGUCUCAAGCGUUGUUCGGAUUCAUUGGGCGUAAAGGGUGCGUAGGCGGCGCGGUAAGUCGGAUGUGAAAUCUCGGAGCUUAACUCCGAAACUGCAUUCGAUACUGCCGUGCUUGAGGACUGGAGAGGAGACUGGAAUUUACGGUGUAGCGGUGAAAUGCGUAGAUAUCGUAAGGAAGACCAGUGGCGAAGGCGGGUCUCUGGGACGGUACUGACGCUGAGACGCGAAAGCGUGGGGAGCAAACAGG